GGACCCGCACAAGUAGUGGAGCAUGUGGUUUAAUUCGAAGAUACGCGCAGAACCUUACCAACACUUGACAUGUUCGUCGCGACUUUAAGAGAUUAAAGUUUUCGGUUCGGCCGGACGAAACACAGGUGCUGCAUGGCUGUCGUCAGCUCGUGUCGUGAGAUGUUGGUUAAGUCCCGCAACGAGCGCAACCCUCACUUUUAGUUGCCAUCAUUAGGUUGGGCACUCUGAAAGAACUGCCAGUGAUAAGCUGGAGGAAGGUGGGGAUGACGUCAAGUCCUCAUGGCCCUUACGUGUUGGGCUACACACGUGCUACAAUGGUAUCUACAACAGGAAGCAAAACUGCGAAGUUAAGCAAA
rnacentral:rRNA from 1 species